rnacentral:tRNA from 1 species
GCGGUCGUGGCGGAAUUGGUAUACGCGCAGCACUAAGGAUGCUGUGGAGAAAUCCUUGGGGGUUCAAGUCCCCCCGGCCGCACCA